UACCUGCGGAAGGAUCAUUACUGAGUGAGGGCCCUCUGGGUCCAACCUCCCACCCGUGUUUAUUAUACCUUGUUGCUUCGGUGCGCCCGCCUCACGGCCGCCGGGGGGCUUCUGCCCCCGGGUCCGCGCGCACCGGAGACACUAUUGAACUCUGUCUGAAGAUUGCAGUCUGAGCAUAAACCAAAUAAGUUAAAACUUUCAACAACGGAUCUCUUGGUUCCGGCAUCGAUGAAGAACGCAGCGAAAUGCGAUAACUAAUGUGAAUUGCAGAAUUCAGUGAAUCAUCGAGUCUUUGAACGCACAUUGCGCCCCCUGGUAUUCCGGGGGGCAUGCCUGUCCGAGCGUCAUUGCUGCCCUCAAGCACGGCUUGUGUGUUGGGCUCCGUCCCCCCGGGGACGGGUCCGAAAGGCAGCGGCGGCACCGAGUCCGGUCCUCGAGCGUAUGGGGCUUUGUCACCCGCUCUGUAGGCCCGGCCGGCGCCAGCCGACAACCAAUCAUCCUUUUUUCAGGUGACCUC
rnacentral:rRNA from 1 species